rnacentral:rRNA from 1 species
AACGAACGCUGGCGGCAUGCCUAACACAUGCAAGUCGAACGAGACCUUCGGGUCUAGUGGCGCACGGGUGCGUAACGCGUGGGAACCUGCCCUUAGGUUCGGAAUAACUCCCCGAAAGGGGUGCUAAUACCGGAUAAUGUCUUCGGACCAAAGAUUUAUCGCCUUUGGAUGGGCCCGCGUUGGAUUAGCUAGUUGGUAGGGUAAAAGCCUACCAAGGCGACGAUCCAUAGCUGGUCUGAGAGGAUGAUCAGCCACUCUGGGACUGAGACACGGCCCAGACUCCUACGGGAGGCAGCAGUGGGGAAUAUUGGACAAUGGGCGAAAGCCUGAUCCAGCAAUGCCGCGUGAGUGAUGAAGGCCGUAGGGUUGUAAAGCUCUUUUACCCGGGAUGUUAAUGACAGUACCGGGAGAAUAAGCUCCGGCUAACUCCGUG